GUGCCGCUGAUGUAAUGGUAACAUAGCGGAUUUUUAAUCCGCCUAUCUGGGUUCAACUCCCGGGCGGCGCACCA
rnacentral:tRNA from 1 species